rnacentral:lncRNA from 1 species
UAGAUGUGAUGUUUCUUGUGCUUCAUGAUUUGUUGAGUCAUUACAGGCCGCGCUAACUGAUUCAACUUGGUUGUUUGAGGAGGAAGAAGGACGAAGGAACUCUACAGCAACGCUAUUUCUUGGUAAUGAAACAGGUAGCAUGUACUGAUUCAACUUGGUUGUUUGAGGAGGAAGAAGGACGAAGGAACUCUACAGCAACGCUAUUUCUUGGUAAUGAAACAGGUGAGAGAUCAAGUGGUGGAGGAGCCACAUCUUGUAAACGCCUCGAGCUGGAACUAGAACUAGAGCCAGAGCCAGAGCCAGAAUCGAAACCAGAGCCAGAGCUAGAAUUACUAGAGUUGGAUUGAAACGCAGGUGCAGCAGUCAGCAUUUGGACAACUUCCUUGAAAUUAACAGGUUCCACUCUGUAUAUUUUAGGACGUG